rnacentral:rRNA from 1 species
UACGGGGGGGGCAAGCGUUGUUCGGAAUUACUGGGCGUAAAGGGCCAGUAGGCGGCCAACUAAGUCGGAUGUGAAAUCCCUCGGCUUAACCGGGGAACUGCUUCCGAUACUGGAUGGCUAGAGUGUGGGAGAGGGAUGCGGAAUUCCAGGUGUAGCGGUGAAAUGCGUAGAUAUCUGGAGGAACACCGGUGGCGAAGGCGGCAUCCUGGACCACGACUGACGCUGAGUGAGCGAAAGCCAGGGGAGCAAACGGG